GACGAAGGUGGCAACCGUUGUUCGGAAUCACUGGGCAUAAAGCGCACGUAGGCGGAUAUCUAAGUCGGGUGUGAAAUCCCUCGGCCCAACCGAGGAACUGCGCCCGAAACUGGAUGUCUUGAGGAUAGGAGGGGAGCAUGGAAUUCCUGGUGGAGCGGUGAAAUGCGUUGAUAUCAGGAGGAACACCGGCGGCGAAGGCGAUGCUCUGGCCUAUUUCUGACGCUGAGGUGCGAAAGCCAGGGGAGCAAACGGG
rnacentral:rRNA from 1 species